GCGCGCUUACACAUGCAAGUCGAGCGAGAAAGGGGAGCAAUCCCUGAGUACAGCGGCGUACGGGUGAGUAACACGUGGAUGAUCUACCUUCUAGUGGGGGAUAACCCUGGGAAACCGGGGCUAAUACCGCAUAAGCCUGUGAAGGGAAAGCAGCAAUGCGCUGGAAGAGGAGUCCGCGGCCGAUUAGCUAGUUGGUGAGGUAACGGCCCACCAAGGCGAUGAUCGGUAGCCGGCCUGAGAGGGCACACGGCCACACUGGCACUGAAACACGGGCCAGACUCCUACGGGAGGCAGCAGUGGGGAAUCUUGCACAAUGGAGGCAACUCUGAUGCAGCGACGCCGCGUGAGCGAUGAAGCCCUUCGGGGUGUAAAGCUCUUUCGGCAGGGACGAUGAUGACGGUACCUGAAGAAGAAGCUGCGGCUAACUACGUGCCA
rnacentral:rRNA from 1 species